rnacentral:rRNA from 1 species
GACGAACGCUGGCGGCGUGCUUAACACAUGCAAGUCGAACGGAAAGGCCCUGCUUUUGUGGUGUGCGCGAGUGGAGAACGGGUGAGAAACACGUGAGUAACCUGCCCUUGACUUUGGGAUAACUGCAGGAAACUGGGGCAAAUACCGGAUAGGAACUCCUGCUGCGUGGUGGGGGUUGGAAAGUUUCGGCGGUUGGGGAAGGACUCGCGGCUUAUCCGCUUGUUGGUGGGGUAGUGGCUUACCAAGGCUUUGACGGGUAGCCGGCAUGAGAGGGUGACCGGCCACAUUGCGACUGAGAUACGGAGCAGACUCCUACGGGCAGCAGCGGGGGGGAAUAUUGCACAGUGGGAGGAAGCCUGAUGCAGCAACGCGUCGUGCGGGAUGCCGGCCUUCGGGUUGUAAACCGCUUGCGACUGUGACGAAGCGUGAGUGACGGUAAUGGGUAAAGAAGCACCGGCUAACUACGUG